AGACGUAGGGGGCGAGCGUUGUCCGGAAUUACUGGGCGUAAAGAGCACGUAGGCGGGUAUUUAAGUCAGGUGUGAAAGACCGCAGCCCAACUGCGGGGUUGCACAUGAAACUGGAUAUCUUGAGGGCAGGAGAGGUCAGUAGAAUUCCUGGUGUAGCGGUGAAAUGCGUAGAAAUCAGGAGGAAUACCAGUGGCGAAGGCGGCUGACUGGACUGACCCUGACGCUGAGGUGCGAAAGCGUGGGUAGCAAACAGGAUUAGAUACCCUGGUAGUCCACGCUGUAAACGAUGGAUACUAGGUGUGGGAGGUAUCGACCCCUUCCGUGCCGGAGCUAACGCAAUAAGUAUCCCGCCUGGGGAGUACGGUCGCAAGGCUGAA
rnacentral:rRNA from 1 species